rnacentral:tRNA from 1 species
GAGGGUAUAGGUCGGUGGUAGAGCAUGUGCUUGGCAUGCACGAGGUCCUGGGUUCAAUUCCCGGUACCUCCA